AAGAUGUCAUUUGACUGGAGGAGAGGAUGCCUGUGAGACAAGGUGUAAGAUCAUAUGAGGUGAUAUAGCUAAGUCAUAUAAAAGACUCCAGGGUCUUUGGACAACUCACUCGACUGGCUCUUCUUCUUUCCUUAGCUAUGAAGAAAAAGGGUUUGCUGAGAGGAGGAGAAGGUGACUGUGUAUAAGCGACAGCCCCACAAGGAUGCUGUGAGAGACUCUGCUGGAGGCUCCACUCCGUUGUGGGACAUGGAAGUUUCCAUGGGAAGUACCCAUCUCGCCCUGCCCACUUGGUUUCACACUGUAUACUGUGCUGAAGACAGUGCUGGCAUUUCAGCUUGAACACUAAGCGGUGACUCAGAGCCAACAGAAGUGUGGACCGCUGUUUACUCAAAAGGAAGCCUUUGGUGUGACAAAUUAGAGUGGGCUGCUACAUUGUGCAGGACUCAUGAGCCAAACAGCUUGAAAAUAGCACAUACCACUGCGGCAGGUGUCAAAGGGCUUCCCCUCAGAAGAACCAGAGGUCCGUCUUUCAUCUGGAACUGGCUAGGAAAGAGGCUGGCAAGUCACCAAAUCCAUCAUCCUAUCUACCAAGAGCUCACAAAAGGAAGGAACUGGAAGGAGAAGGCUCAACAAUAAUAAAAGCUGAAUGGCCUUAAAGAAAGAACAUUGGAAGACAGGCAGUAAAGAAGUGGAGACUAGGAUUUUCUACAAAGCUUCAAAAUAAAUUCAUCUUUCCCCAAGAGAGAAAGAAGAGU
rnacentral:lncRNA from 1 species